AAUGUAACGCUAGCGGCGUGCCUUAUGCAUGCAAGUCGAACGGUCUUAAGCAAUUAAGAUAGUGGCGAACGGGUGAGUAACGCGUAAGUAACCUACCUCUAAGUGGGGGAUAGCUUCGGGAAACUGAAGGUAAUACCGCAUGUGGUGGGCCGACAUAUGUUGGUUCACUAAAGCCGUAAGGCGCUUGGUGAGGGGCUUGCGUCCGAUUAGCUAGUUGGUGGGGUAAUGGCCUACCAAGGCUUCGAUCGGUAGCUGGUCUGAGAGGAUGAUCAGCCACACUGGGACUGAGACACGGCCCAGACUCCUACGGGAGGCAGCAGCAAGGAAUCUUGGGCAAUGGGCGAAAGCCUGACCCAGCAACGCCGCGUGAGGGAUGAAGGCUUUCGGGUUGUAAACCUCUUUUCAUAGGGAAGAAUAAUGACGGUACCUGUGGAAUAAGCUUCGGCUAACUACGU
rnacentral:rRNA from 3 species